ACUCAAAUGAAUUUAUCACAUCUGUAGUUGUAUAACGAUCAUAACAAUCCAAUUUCACAGGAAUUAAACUAAAAUUAAAAUGUGUUAUUGGUAGCUAUUUUCAGGGAAAGAGAAGGAAAAGAAAACUCAAUUGCCAUCUUUUGAAAUAAUUAUUGCCCCAACUCUUUACCCAGAAUAUUUAUAAUUAAAGGAGGAUAUUUAUCUUUUCAAGAGGAACUCUAGUUCAUCCCCACAUCUUUCUUACAAAAAAAAACAGUGAAAUAAAAAAAAUUAGAAAAUUACUGUUUACGCCAGUAAGAUGAGCAAAAAUCAUUACAUUCAUGAAAGUGCACUAAGUAUAUCCAGAGUUUACAGAAUAGGAAUAACUGCCAAUUGCAAAAGGAAAAAUAUUUGACAAAAUUGAGUUCUGCUGCUUUUAGCAAAGGGAUUAAAUUUAGAAUAAGACAAUGCAGCAACCUGACACAUGUGCCUUGAUGCAAUAUGAGAUAUAAAAGAGUACCUGCUGACUAUUCUUGCUCAAAGAAAUGUUUAACCUCCAUCAAAUCAAGCCUAGAGGUUUAACUUCUAGUUUACAGAAAAUUUAGGGUUUCCAGGACCAACUUAAAUGACACCACUAGGAAAUAAUUAGACAAAUUCAGAAUGUGGGCAUUCUAUUAAAAAAAAAAAAAGGUGGCGGAGUUCAAGUCGUGGCUCAGUGUUCAACAAAUCCAACUAGGAACCAUGAGGUUGCAGGUUCCAUCCCUGGCCUCGAUCAGUGGGUUAAGGAUCCAGCAUUGAGGUGAGCUGUGAUGUAGCUCGCAGAAGCUGCUCGGAUCUGGCAUUGCUAUGGCUGUGGUGUAGGCCAGUGGCUACAGCUCCUAUUCCACCCCUAGCCUGGGAACCUCCAUAUACCAUGGGUGUGGGCCUAAAAAGACAAAAGGAUGAAAAAAAAAGGGGGCUUAUGCUUUUUCCAUCUAGCUUAAGAGGAUUCUGUAUCCCACGAUUAUACAAUAAUUCCCCUAAGUCUUCUCCUAAGAUUCUUAUGCCUCAUGCUUUAUAUUAAAGUCUUUAAUACACCUCAUUGGGCAAAAUAACUUGAGUUAUACCUGAUAUCAGAUUGCAAAAAUCUUCUUAAAUAUUUGUCUGUGUGUUGUCUGUAGGAUUUUUAUUUUAAUUCUUAGCAGUUCUUCAGUCUUUGUUAUCCCACUAUUGCUUAUUAUUCUCUGGUUUUGAUUGGUUUUCUUAAAAAAUUGGUUUUGAUUAUAUAUCACUUUAAUAACUCAGUAAUCUGGCUUAUUUUAUAUUUAUGCUACAUUGAUGUUAUACUGAGUAUUAAUGGUUUUUAUUCCUGUUUGUAAAUGAACCUUUAUGAGUAACUUUGCUUUGUCCUUAGUCUUCACUUACAUUUAUGCAUCUAAAAACCUUGCUUAACCAGAUCAAGCCUUUACUUUAGGCAGCUGAGAAAAUGUCAGAGGCAGAAGAGCAACCCAAAUGAUAUAAUCAGGCAGGGCUGAAAACAUUUGAACCUGAAUGAAUUGCGUUUUCCUGCUUAACUAUCCAGAGUUCACAGAAGCAAUAAGUGGGCAACAUUUUUUGCAAAUCAUGUUAACUAAGAAAUUUCAAAUUUUAGUCUAGCUAGUCAAAUCAGAUAACUCAGUUUAUAAUGAAACAAACUCUGGCAAUGCCUUUUUAUUAAUAUCAAACAUAAUGUAAAAAUUUGCCUUAAAAUUAGAAAUUAAAUUUGACCAUUUUCUUCCCACUUUUAUCCCAUUUCUAAAAAAUAGAUCUUAUCAACUUAAGAUCAACUGAGUUCACAUUUGCUCAUGUAGAAAAGCUCCAAGGCAUAUCCUACAAAAUCAGAUUUCUCAUAGAGAUCUAUAUGUCUUAUGGUGACUUUUCCCCAAGAAUGUGUUUCGAGACCAUAGCAAUAAAAAAGAUGGGGCCAACUGAAUUAAAUGAUGUGUGAUCCAUGGAGCCAAGGCAUAUAUGACACUCUUUAGUACUCUCCCCACUGUAUCAGUUAGUUAUUGUCACAAUAAUGUUGCCUAACAACCACAAAACUUCCAGUGGCAUAAAACAAUAAAUGUUUACUAAACUUAAAAAAAAAAUUCUUUAACAGGACUCUUGAUGAAGGAAGGUCAAGGACUUAUAUCUGAAAAGUGGAGGACUAAAACACUUAAAACGCAAUCAGAACUCAAGGAUGAGUAUAUUCCCAACCAAACAGACUUUGGCAGGUUUCUUGCAAAGACUGGGCUGGACAGACUAAAGAUGGGAAGGGGGCCUUACUAACGUUUGGUCAAGCAUUACCAGUUGGGAAGUAGGGAAGGGGCAGCAUAGGGGUGGGAGAGAUGGAGGCAAAAACUAUUGGGUAUAAGAUAGAAUAGGCUCAAGUAUCUAUUGUACAACAUAGGGAAGAUAGCCAAUAUUUUGUAAUAGCUAUAAAUGGAAAGUAACCUUUAAAAAUUGUAUAACAUUUUUAAAACAUUUUUAAAAAGAAGAGAUUUUGGCAUAGUUGUUGAAUAUAAGUUCUUUCUAUAAAAAUAAAAGAAAUUAUGCCAAAAUAACCAUCCACAAAACAUAAUUUUAAAAGUUAUAUUGGAUUAACUAAUAAAAAAGACAUCUAUGCAGAAAUUUUUAAAACUCCGAUAAAUAAGCUAAAAUAUAAAAAAAUACUUUACAUUUUAGAUUUCCAAAACUUAACCCUUGAUUUUCUCCCCCAAACCAUCAUUUCUGCCUUCUGUGUUUGUGUUUCUCAUCUCAACAAAUUACAUUAAAUUGUGGAGUUAUGCUUGAUGCCUCAUUUUAUUUUCCCAUUCAUUGUAUCGGCCACUCUAACUUUAUCUUCAAAACAGAUCCAAAAUUUCACCAUCCUCAGCAACAUGGUCUAUGUUCAUAACACCUUCAAAUCUCUGACACUAUCCUCCUACCAAAUCUCCCUGUUUUCACCCUUGUCUUCUUACAUUGUGUCCUUCGUUGAGAAAUAAGAGCAACCCUUUUCGAGGGCAAGUCAUAUAACAUUAUGCCUUUGCUCAGUGCCCUCCAAUGACUUUCCAGUUUAGAUGGAUCUUUGGAAUGAAAUCCAAGUUCAUAACCUUCCAAGGACUUUUCCUGUCCUGUCAUUGGAAUUCUUCUCUAUCCUCAACUACUCUUGCAUCUUUUCUCCCUUCCUUAUCUGGCCUCCGGCCAUGAUGACUAAUGAGCUUUGAACACUCAAGUGCACUCCUACAUCUCUGUCUUUGUGUUCCAUAUUCCUCUUCCAAAUAUUGUCCCUUAAUUAUUUUUUUCCCACUGUACAGCAUGGGGACCAAGUCACACAUACAUGUAUACAUAAGUUUUCCUCCCACUGUUGUGUUGUGAUGUAAGUAUCUAGACAUAGUUCUCAAUGCUACACAGCAGGCUCUCAUUGUAAAUCCACUCUAAGAGCAACAGUUUGCAUCCGUUAACCCCAUGCUCCCAAUCCCUCCCACUCCCUCCCCACCCAGGCAGCCACAAGUCUAUUCUCCAAGUCCAUGA
rnacentral:lncRNA from 1 species